GGUGGCGGGGUGGGGCGGGGGUUCGGUUCAUAAGGAUGUUUUUACAGUAAAACCAUGCCAGAACAUUUCAGAAACAGAAUUGUUCAGUGUGAAUUCGAUUCCGAAUUUCAUAGGUCCAUUUUGGAGACGUUUCCAUUGUACGUUCUCUCAUUUUGAGAAAAACACUUAUGGAAUGCCUUGGCGGUCAAAAUUCUAAACUGUCCUAAGUCCUUGGGACCUCGGGCAAGAGGUUAGACUAUUAACGCCAAGUCAUCCAUCAUUCAUUAAGUGUAUAUUAUUUACGCGUUCCUAUUCAGAAAUAGAAGUGAUUGUUCCAAUUCGCUUGUAUCAAUAGGAAAAACUAGAUAUUCUUUCAAAACAAAAAAACCUCAUGCUUCUCAGUCAGAUAUUUAUAUCAGUUUGUAAUUAAACGUAUUUUAAUUAACACAAAAACAUUAUUUUAAACGCAUAUAUGUGCAUAUGAACUGAUAAUUCUGUUUGUUUCAUAUGAGAAGUUGUUCAGAGUUAAACGGCUUACAUGUGGAGGUAUUAUUGAAAGAUAUAUGGGGAAUGGAGCUUGUAAUGCACACUGUCGAAUAAUUAGGAAAGGUAGAGGGGAAUGUAGUGGCGGAACCUGCUAUUGUCGUGGUCGCUGAUCACAGUAAUAUUAGCAGGAGUGUUGUUCAGUUGUUUGUUCGUGCUCUAGUUUCAUUAUAUCUUUUUGUUCACGAAAUAAACGUCUGUACAUUAUAUAUGCUGCUCUCCUAGUUAUUUCUUCGUAUAGUAUGGCAUCAGUAUGAGAAAAAAAUAGAACUGUUUGCCGUAACAGGGUUUUUCGUGAUUUUUGGCUUUAUUUUUUCAAGAUCAUAAACUAUACAUCAUUCGAAAGGUCUCUGAGGGUGAUAGUAGGAUCUUCCUGAAAUUUUAAUAUCAAAGUAUGUACCAUUGUUAAAAUGUGGCAAAAUCAUUUUUAAAAACUUAUUUAAUGAUAUCAUGUAUAUUCGUCUGCACUACGCCUUUUGAAUGAAAGGAGUAAAAAAAUGUGAUAUUUUGCUUCCCGAAUGGAAGCAAGAAUUUAUAUUUAGUAUCAAGUUUCCUUUUCAGAAAAAAAGGCAAAACCCAUAGAUUGUUUCCCGAACGGGAAGUUUCCCCUUCUGAUGUGUGCCACUAUACUGAUGAUUAUAAUUGUAAUUAGAUCUUACCGUUUCUAAACGUUAUCGUAAAAAGAUGAAACCUAUUCAAUGAUAUAAUCAGAAAGUGAAAGGAUAUUUUUUUAACUUUUCCACACUUUGAUUUUUAUUGCUAUAUUUGUCCCGUGUUGACAUAUUUCAAUGACAAUUGGACGGAGUAUUCAAUGAUUUUAUUUUAAGUAUCUUGUCUUGUAAGUCUGUAAAAGAAUGACCAUUUGCAUAAACUGAUCAUGCUGUUGUGAAUAUGUUUUACUGAUGUCUCUAAUAAACAAUUAAACUCAA
rnacentral:lncRNA from 1 species